UACCACUAAUUAGAAUUUUUUUAUUUAAUAAAUAGAACCAACACGAUGCUUAUGGGAAUAAAAAAGACACAAGAAAAGAUAUUGUAAAGCACAAAGUAAAAGAUGUCGGAGAUCACCUCAACUAUGCUUAGUACAUCCCAUACUGGGUCUCCUCAUCUAAUGGUAUACGAGACCAAUGGUGUAUCUUGGAUCUAACAAGUAUGGGAAAGCUUAAUGCUAGAACCCUUAAUCAAUGUGAGAGUAUAGAACAAUACUAAAUCCAAGGCCUCAAUGCCUUAUCUAAAUGAGUGGGGCAUUGCCCCUCUUCAUUUCCUAAGUGGGGCAUGCUCCUUCCUUCUACCCUUGACUAUUAAGAGAGAGAGAUUAGAGAUAAACUUUAGGAGAGAGAGAGAGAGAGUUUGCGACCAUCUAUAUUUCUUCAUUCCAUCCAAAGCCACUUUGAUUCUUCAUUUGCUUGGCAUUCUUGUAGUUCUUUGAUUAAGUUCUAAGUUUAUUUUUAAAAACAUACAUUCUCAUAUUCAUUCCAAGGUGCACAUUGAACUCCUGCUCAAUUGCACUCUAUUGCUCAUUUUUAAAAGCAGAUUUGGGUAUGCAUUGCUCAACAAGUAGCUCCAACAAAACUGCCUCCAUUUGUAAUAUCCAUUUAAUUUUCCUCCCCGUGUUGGGAUUUGACUAAGUCACUGGAACUUCGUUCUCCAUGUCUAACAUAAAUAUCAAAUAUCACUAUGAUGUCAAACUUUUGGGAAAAUUUUCACAUGGAAUGCAUUCAUCCAAUACAUCAAUAUAAAAUACAAUUAUAAAGCAAAGUUAUACAUGACUAAAAUAGAAAUUUGGAUAGAUUUAAAAGGGUAUGAAAGCAACAUACAUGUUAUCAUAAUGUCUAAUAGCAAAACAUAAAGCGAAGUUUUCAUCCCAUAACUGUUUACAUGAAUAUAUCUCAAUGAGUCCUAUAAUCUGCCUAUAUUUGCAUUGCAAGCUCAUCUUUGAACUUAGAUCAUUAAUCUCUCUCCCUUUGAUUCCUCCCAAAUACUUCCAACUCUAAAACUUCCACUAACUGUGGUUGGAUUCGAUCACAUAUUAUCUAUUCAUAAUCAAGAAGAUCACCAUUUUCACCAAUGAUAAAAUUGUGCAAAAUACAACCUGCAACAAUUGUCUUGACUUGGGUUUUAAUCGGGUAGGUAGUAGUUACUUUCAAGCAGUGUUUGAAAAAUCAGCGAUCCGAUCCAGAAUUGGGCGAUCAGGAUCGGGAAUUGGUUAGACCAUUUCGGAUUUGGCCAUAAAACGAGAUUCGGCCUUUUUUCUAUACUAAAUCGUCAUUUUGACGUCAUAAACUCGGACAUAUCACCGAUUCCAUAAUGAAAAUCAGACGUUACCAUGGUUUAUUUUAAAAAUGGUAUACUUACUACAUGUGGUCGCACCCUACCGUAAGUCAAAUAACCGCCGCAUGCUUCGCUUGGCACGCAAGUACCACUCAUAAUGGUUGAAUUACUUUUAUAGUGGUUUGUAGUCCCACAAUUUUUCGAUGGGGGACAUUGUUGUUG
rnacentral:lncRNA from 1 species